AGCUUUGCACAGCGGCAGUAUCAUAGCCAAUGAGGUUUAUCUGAGGCGCGAUUAUUGCUAAUUGAAACUCUCUGUGGUUCUU
ensembl:snRNA U4 U4 spliceosomal RNA